rnacentral:rRNA from 1 species
CUGACCUCAGAUCAGGCAAGACCACCCGCUGAGUUUAAGCAUAUC